UUCGAGGACGACAAGAUCUCCCUGCCCUUCGUGGUGACUGAUCUUCGUGGCCGCAACCUGCGGCCCAUGCGGGAGCGGACUGCUGUCCAGGGCCAGUACCUGACAGUGGAGCAGCUCACACUAGACUUCGAAUAUGUUAUCAAUGAGGUCAUCCGCCACGAUGCUACCUGGGGCCACCAGUUCUGUUCUUUCAGCGACUAUGACAUCGUCAUUCUAGAGGUCUGCCCAGAAACCAACCAGGUCCUCAUCAACAUUGGCCUGCUGCUCCUGGCCUUCCCGUCCCCCACUGAGGAGGGCCAGCUCCGACCAAAGACCUAUCACACCAGCCUCAAGGUGGCAUGGGACCUCAACACAGGGAUCUUCGAGACAGUCAGUGUAGGCGACCUGACUGAGGUCAAAGGGCAGACCAGGUGAGGCAGGGCUGGGGGGCAGGGUCGGGGGUGGCCAAGGCGAUGAGAGCCACUCACCCCCUGGCCCCGCAGCGGCAGUGUCUGGAGCUCCUACCGCAAGAGCUGCGUGGACAUGGUCAUGAAGUGGCUGGUGCCCGAGAGCAGCGGCCGCUACGUCAACAGGAUGACCAAUGAGGCGCUGCACAAAGGGUGCUCCCUGAAGGUUCUGGCAGACAGCGAGCGAUACACGUGGAUCGUGCUGUGAGGGCCGGGCCGCCCCGGACACUGACUCCAACUACCUCCGUGGCCUGGGACCGGCCGCCUCCCUGGGGUGGCCUCUUCCUGGCCGGCUGGCCCACCGACUGAUGACCGGCACUAGUGUUAGGCUGCGGAACGGGGCUGGGCAGGGCAGUCUCUGUUGGCCUGAGGGUCUGGACGCUUUUUAUUUAUGCCUAUUUAAGUUGAGAAGGGGCAGAGAGGGCGCUCCCUGCCCCACCAGCCUGAGCGCCCCGCCUUCACCCCGAGCUGGGCAUGGGCCUGGACCCUCGUGCAUUUGCCCCUUUCCUCAGCUACAGCUGCGGACGUUGCCCUCGGGGAG
rnacentral:sRNA from 1 species